GUCCUGUUGGCAUGAGAUGGAAAAUCUGUGUUUUGAACAAACAUCUUAGGCCAUCUGCUGUGUCUACACUUAAAGAAACACUGGUGGAGUUUUAAACACCUCUCCAUGGCAGAAGGAGAGCCUGAGAAUGAAUGUGACCCAAACCCAUCCACUCAAGUUCUGGUCGUUUGGAAGAAGGAAGAACAGCCUGGAUACUGGCAGGAAAGGAUGACAAGCUGGGAGUUACAGACGUGCACAGGACAAAGAGUUGGGGAGGAGGGGGUGUUUAGCAGGUGGAAAAGAUGCUGAGAGGCAAGAACACAGAAGCUUGUCAUGGGCUGGUACCGUUCAAGUGUUUUCCAUGUAUUUAACCCCCGCCACAAUGCUGUGAGAGACUGAGAAGAUGGCCUGUGAUGAUGCCUGCUCACUAGUAGCUCAAGGAGAUCACAGGGUACCCCUGUCCUGUUUCUGUUGCUAGCAGGCAAGGCCCCCAGCCUCCUGCUAAGGCAGGUGAUGAGAAAGGUUUUCCUUCUCAGGAUUCCUGGAUGGGGACUGGCCAUUGGCAUUUGUGCUCAGUAGAUAAUUGAUGGAGACUGAGGCCUGGAGGGGGCAAAGGACUGGGAAUGUGUCUGAGGAAGACAUUCAGGCCGGAUGGUUAGUCAUCUUGGGGACACUCAUGCCAUGUCCUGGUGUAGCCUCCACCCUCCUAUGACUGUCACUAGAUGCCUCGCAGGUGCGUUGGGACAGACAAAUAAUAAUAACAAUAGUUCACAUGCACCAGGCCCUGUUCUUGAUUUUUAUAAACACUGAUUUAAUUGUCACAACUA